UCCUCGUCCCCUCUCUCUCUCUUCUUUCCUCUAAUCUCUAGCAAAUCCACAAUCAAAUAUCUCAGCUUUAUACAAAAAGCAAACCUAGUUUUCCAACAAAAAGGAAUAAGAAAGCAAAUGGGUGGUGAAGAGAAAGUUUUCACCUUGGCUGAAGUGUCCGAGUACAACAAUCCUAUGGACUGUUGCCCGUUGCGGGGAGGGUAGCGGAGCUUCGUCAGCAGCACCACUUCGAGUAGGCGACUGGAGUUGGCAUCAACAUCAAAGUAUGAGGAUCAGACGAUAAGGAGGAGGAGGAUGGUUGUCGGAUCUUUAGGAACCCAGGAAAUGCAAAGAAUCUUUGUAAUUGAUUGGAUUUGUUAAUUUGAGAUUUUGCGAGUUUUACUGGAAAAGUUUUGGAUUCAAUUGACUGGUUUCAAAAAUUUCGAAAAUUGAUUAAACAAGAUCUUAUUUUGGA